GUAUUACGUAGCUUAAGUAACAAAGCAUAGUGCUGAAGCCACUAAAAUGAGCCUUAACGCUCCAAAUACG
rnacentral:tRNA from 1 species